CUGGGCUUCAGUCAUGCCUUUAUUUUCUUUUUUGGAUCCUAUUUACUAAUAGGGAAAGAUACAUCUCUGCUUGGAAAUGGCCAGAUGUUUGGAAACUGGACAUUUGGCACUUUGGUCUUCACAGUCAUGGUUAUUACAGUCACAGUAAAGAUGGCUCUGGAAACUCAUUUUUGGACUUGGAUCAACCAUCUCGUUACCUGGGGAUCUAUUAUAUUUUAUUUUGUAUUUUCCUUGUUUUAUGGAGGGAUUCUCUGGCCAUUUUUGGGCUCCCAGAAUAUGUAUUUUGUGUUUAUUCAGCUCCUGUCAAGUGGUUCUGCUUGGUUUGCCAUAAUCCUCAUGGUUGUUACAUGUCUAUUUCUUGAUAUCAUAAAGAAGGUCUUUGACCGACACCUCCACCCUACAAGUACUGAAAAGGCACAGCUUACUGAAACAAAUGCAGGUAUCAAGUGCUUGGACUCCAUGUGCUGUUUCCCGGAAGGAGAAGCAGCGUGUGCAUCUGUUGGAAGAAUGCUGGAACGAGUUAUAGGAAGAUGUAGUCCAACCCACAUCAGCAGAUCAUGGAGUGCAUCGGAUCCUUUCUAUACCAACGACAGGAGCAUCUUGACUCUCUCCACAAUGGACUCAUCUACUUGUUAAAGGGGCAGUAGUACUUUGUGGGAGCCAGUUCACCUCCUUUCCUAAAAUUCAGUGUGAUCACCCUGUUAAUGGCCACACUAGCUCUGAAAUUAAUUUCCAAAAUCUUUGUAGUAGUUCAUACCCACUCAGAGUUAUAAUGGCAAACAAACAGAAAGCAUUAGUACAAGCCCCUCCCAACACCCUUAAUUUGAAUCUGAACAUGUUAAAAUUUGAGAAUAAAGAGACAUUUUUCAUCUC
rnacentral:lncRNA from 1 species